GCCCUAGUAACGGCGAGUGAAGCGGCAACAGCUCAAAUUUGAAAUCUGGCUCUUUUAGAGUCCGAGUUGUAAUUUGCAGAGGGCGCUUUGGCGUUGGCAGCGGUCUAAGUUCUUUGGAACAGGACGUCACAGAGGGUGAGAAUCCCGUACGUGGUCGCUAGCCUUCGCCGUGUAAAGCCCCUUCGACGAGUCGAGUUGUUUGGGAAUGCAGCUCUAAAUGGGAGGUAAAUUUCUUCUAAAGCUAAAUACUGGCCAGAGACCGAUAGCGCACAAGUAGAGUGAUCGAAAGAUGAAAAGCACUUUGGAAAGAGAGUCAAAUAGCACGUGAAAUUGUUGAAAGGGAAGCGCUUGCAGCCAGACUUGCCUGUAGUUGCUUAUCCAGACUUUUGUCUGGUGCACUCUUCUGCGGGCAGGCCAGCAUCAGUUUGGGCGGUUGGAUAAAGGUCUCUGUCAUGUACCUCCCUUCGGGGAGGCCUUAUAGGGGAGACGACAUGCAACCAGCCUAGACUGAGGUCCGCGCAUUUGCUAGGAUGCUGGCGUAAUGGCUGUAAGCGGCCCGUCUUGAAACACGGACCAAGGAGUCUAACAUCUAUGCGAGUGUUUGGGUGUCAAGCCCAUACGCGUAAUGAAAGUGAACGGAGGUAGGAACCCUUUGGGUGCACUAUCGACCGAUCCUGAUGUCUUCGGAAGGAUUUGAGUAAGAGCAUGGCUGUUGGGACCCGAAAGAUGGUGAACUAUGCUUGAAUAGGGUGAAGCCAGAGGAAACUCUGGUGGAGGCUCGCAGCGGUUCUGACGUGCAAAUCGAUCGUCAAAUUUGGGCAUA
rnacentral:rRNA from 1 species